GACGAACGCUGGCGGCGUGCUUAACACAUGCAAGUCGAACGGAAAGGCCCUGCUUUUGUGGGGUGCUCGAGUGGCGAACGGGUGAGUAACACGUGAGUAACCUGCCCUUGACUUUGGGAUAACUUCAGGAAACUGGGGCUAAUACCGGAUAGGAGCUCCUGCUGCAUGGUGGGGGUUGGAAAGUUUCGGCGGUUGGGGAUGGACUCGCGGCUUAUCAGCUUGUUGGUGGGGUAGUGGCUUACCAAGGCUUUGACGGGUAGCCGGCCUGAGAGGGUGACCGGCCACAUUGGGACUGAGAUACGGCCCAGACUCCUACGGGAGGCAGAAGUGGGGAAUAUUGCACAAUGGGCGGAAGCCUGAUGCAGCAACGCCGCGUGCGGGAUGACGGCCUUCGGGUUGUAAACCGCUUUCGCCUGUGACGAAGCGUGAGUGACGGUAAUGGGUAAAGAAGCGCCGGCUAACUACGUG
rnacentral:rRNA from 1 species